rnacentral:lncRNA from 1 species
AGGAAUUGGCUUAACAAUUGGAACUGGCUUGGGUAUAGACUUAGGAAUUGGCUUAACUAUUGGAACGGGCUUGGGUAUAGGCUUAGUAACUGGAAUAGGUAAAGGCUUUUUCAUUAUUGGAGUUGGCUUUGGGAUGGGCUUUGACACUGGAAUUGGAAUAGGUAUAACAAUGGGAAUAGACUUGGGUACAGGCUUGGUUAUUGGAAUAGGUUGAGGCCUUUGCACUAUUGGAAUUGACUUUGGGAUGGGCUCGAAAAUAGGAAUUGGCUUAAAAAUGGGAAUUGGCUUGGGUACAGGCAUAAUUAUUGGUAUAGGUAGAGGCUUUACCACUAUAGGAAAUGGCUUUGGGAUAGGCUUGAACAAUGGGAUAGGAAUUGGCGUGGGUAUAGGCUUAAUUACUGGAAUAGGUAAAGGCUCUAUUGGAAAUGGCUUUGGGAUAGGUUUGAACACUGGGAUAGGAAUUGGCUUAGCUAUUGGAAUUGAUUUUGGUACAGGUUUAAUUGAUGGGAUAGGUAGAGGUUUUUUCACUGUUGGAGAUGGUUUUGGGAUUGACUUAACAAUAGGAAUUGGCUUUGGUAAAGGCUUCUUAACCACUGGAGUAGGUACAGGUUUUUUGGCUAUUGGACAUGGCUUUGGCUUCUCAAUUGUUGGAGAUGGCUUUGGUAUUGGCUUCACUGGAACUGGGACAGGCCUGAACACCGGGAUAGGAAUUGGCUUUGGUAUAGGCUUAACAUCUGGAAUCCACUUUGGUAUAGGCUUCUGGAAAACUGGGAUAGGUAGAGGUAGAGGCUUUGGAAAAGGCAUUGGUAUAGGUUUAACAAUCGGAACCAACUUUGGUACAGGCUUAAAAAAUGGUAUUGAAAAUGUCUUUUUCUCUUUUGGAAAUGACUCUGUGCCUUUUAACUUUUUAUCUGAAGGCUUGGCAUCAAUGGUCACCUCAGUUCCUGCAAAAAAACAUUGAAUAUCAUAUUGUAUACAUGAUUGUUAUAAUUGUAUUUAGUUUUAGUGUGUCAGUGAAGUGUUGUAGUUCUAGCUGAGAAUGAAUGUAAAUCAUGUAAUGUUGCUUAUGCUAUGGUUCUAGGAUACUUAUAUUGUACAAAAUAUAAAGGAAAGUUGUAUAUACACAAGUAGGUUCAGACCACCAACCUGUAGAGGCUUCAUUAGCAGAUACAGCAGCAGAAUUGGCAAAACAGAAGCACACAAAAAGAAGCAGGGGCACCCUGUAGAGCAACAUUUGAAAAUGGAACUAUUCCUUAUUGUGAAGAUACCUACCUUAGCCUGGCCACACUACUCACCAAGGUGUGGCAAUGAAAGUUGGAAAAGGGAAAUACUUCUUAGAUUAAGGUUUGAGAUGCUCUAGCCUCAUAAGAUUUGUGUCUAUAUAUAAUGGUAUGGCCAGCUUAGGAUUGAUGUACUUGAAGUGGCUCAUAUGCUAUUACUUCUAGUUUAUAUUAUGAGGUUGUUGGUUAAUUUAGUGAUCAUUAGAGUUAGUUGGGACUGUGCAUGUUAGUUUAGAGAUCAAUGGCUAUCGGCACCGGCUUUGUUGCUGAGAUGGGAUCUCUUCCAAUAAUGAACUUCCCCACUUGGGCUAUUUUUUUGGUUAUUAUUGUUGGGUCAGUAAAUUGAAUCUCUAUCAAUAUGGUUGAUUAGGGUAUUUUUCUGCUACUUCACAAUGAAGUACCUGAGAAGUAUUUCUCCAAAGUUGAAGUUUUUAACACAGAAUUUUUUUUUUCCUUCCCUAUAUUACAGUGCAGGGUGAUAAAAGUAUUUUUUUUCCUUCCCUAUAUUACAGUGCACUCACUUUUAGGGUAGUUAAAAAAUCAUAGUUAGCACUCGUGUCUAGGCUAGUUAAAUUACACAUAUAUUGUUGUAGCUAAAAAUUUACAUGAUCAGAAAUAUCAAUGGGUUUAGAUCUACCAAAGAGGUAAACACCUCUCACAUCUAUAUCCUCAUGACUCCUCAUCAGAAUAACUUUCACCAUUUGUGAAGUCGUGUGAUGAGGUUCUGCAUGUGGAUACAAUAAAGGCUUUGGAGGCAUUUCUAGGAUAUCAAGUUUCCCUUCUGGCAUCUCUAUUACUUUAUUCAUUAAAUGGAUUUUAACUGAAUGCACCUUUGAAAAAAAAAACGGAAAAGAAAAGAAAACUAAAUGUACCAAAAGUGUAACUUUUUUUGUUUUGUUUUUGUUUUAAUUUAUGAGAAGAAAUGAAUUUUAACUAAUUCUAAAUUCGGUUAAAAAAUAAGUAAAACUUGUCCAACACUAAAGUAUAACUAUAAUCAUCUUCUCUACUACAUUUUUUUCUUCUUCUGUGCCAUCAUCUAAUUCUAUGUCUUCUCCUUUAUUAAAUUGAUCAUAAAAUGAAGUUUUCAUCAAGAAGGAUGUUGUACUCGAUACUUGCCACGAAGUGACCAAUCGUGGAAUGAAUUUAUAUUGGAAACGCUACUAAAAUAAAAUGUCUCACCAUAUUUUAGCUAGAACUGCCUCUUAACUAAAUAUACAUUUUCCUUAAAAGAAAACUAAAUAUACAUAUUAUGUGAGUAGCGUUUUUAGAAAUUUUCACCUAUAAAAUAUAAAAUUACACAAAUAAUACAUACAAAAUUAUUUAUCCAAAUGAUACAAAAUACUAUUCUGAUUUCUCACCUUUAUUUUUAGUAUUCCUCUAGAAAUUGAUUCACCAGGAACCAAUUUUUAAACGUGCCUUUUUUAAAAUAAUAAAAAAACAAGUUGUCGUUUUCUUAACUUUUUUCUUGUUUUUUUUUAAAAUUGUUUUUGCAUUUUUUUCUUUCUUAAUUAUUUAUAUUUAUGUGUUGUUUAAACGGAAAAUAAUAUUAUUUUGUAUAUGUAGUUAUUAUUUUUUUUGUUUUAUCCUUUUUUGAAGAGUUGAAAUCUUUUGUAUUAUUAAAAUUAUUUUUAAAAGUGAGUGAUGAAAUAUCUCAAUUAAAAAAAUAAAAAAAAAACUAAAAUUAUGAAUUUGAAAAAAUUUGAAUAGGAAAAUAAAACAUAUCUUUAUUCCUUAUAUCUUCAUUUUAUAGUAGUUUUACCAAAAAAACCACAAUAACAACUAAGUAGUGACUAAAAAUUCAUAAAAAUUUCUCACAUAAAAACUACAUAAUAUUUAGAUAUCGAAACUAACAAAAAAAAGCUGAAAAAAAGACUAAAUAAACCAAAAAAAAAAUUCAUAAUCAAUAAAUAAGAAAUUAUCUAGAGUUGAAAUCCUUUGUAUUUUCAUUUCAUUUGAUUAUUAAAAUACGUAAUUGAAAUUAAAAAAAGAAGAUAUUUAACCAACAAGUUGAAUUGAACUAAAAUAUUUAAAUUAGAAAAUAGAUAUAAAAUUACAAAAAAUAAAACAAAAUAUUUAAAAUUUAAAUAAUAUAACAAAAAUUUUAAAAUACAAAGAAUAUGACAUAAACUUAACAUUUUUUGCUUGAGCCUACAUGCUAGGGGCAUUUGUUUUUUGAAUGGCCUAAGAUGCGAUACAUGGAACAUUAUUUUGGUUGACUCGGUUCUCAGAUAUCUAUUUCGGUGUGUAUACGAGAGGAGAAAGGAUGACCUUUAGAAUUUCUUUUCUUCUUUGAGUCGAGGCAGAUUUUUGGCUCAUGGCACGGUGACCAAUACGCUUUGCUGCAAAAUUUCACAAAUAAUCCUUUGUAUAUGUUGGAGACACUUUCCAACGUAUACAUAGGAUGUAUGUAUAUAUUUUCUAUACAAAUGGAGAGCAUGCUUACAAGUAACAACAACAUGAGAACAAGACAUGUGCACUUUUUGGAAUUUGAGAUAGUCACACCACCUUUCAUCUAGCCUGACCAUGAAAUUUCUAGCAAGUCGAACCUCUCUCAGGUUAAUUGUCUCCUAGACCAAGAAUCAUGUGUCAAAUUGACCAAACUCAAGAACAAUGUGAGAGUUUACCUUUCUCUGUGUGUCUUCCAUAGUCUUGCUUAGUACUUGUGUAUAAAUUUGACCAAAUGUAAUCAUUGUUGUGGCUUCUCUCCCUCUUUGGUUGAACAAUGCAUUACACCUUGUAUAGGUUGAUUUUACCAGUGUACUCAUUGGUAGAUUUUGUGUUUUCUUGAGUACCAAAUUAAUUGACUCAACAAGAUUGGUGGUCAUGUGUCCUUAUCAUUGACCACCAUCCCAUGUGAGAGUCCACUUUUCUCGCAGAAUCUCCUUAAGUCAAUUAAUUGCUCAAUCACCAUUUGUUUCCUCCCUCAGAUUGUUGUAGUAAUUAUUGAACGUAGGCUUUAUCCUUACAUAAGCUUAGUAGUUAUAAACAUACAAUUUCAAUAUUGUGAAUAACACAAAAUUAAGUGAUAUUUAAUAUAAAGAAAAAGAAGUUUGACACUCAUUCAUAUUGAUAAUUAGUUUUUUAAGUUAUUGUUCCUGAACCUCUUCAUGUAAUUUUGUGUAAUGUGUCGAAUGCAAAACACAUGCGCAAAAUUAUGUCGUUCAUCCACUAUCAUGUCUUGAGUAGGCACGUUUUAUUGACUCAUACUUAUCUGAAAUCAAACAUAGACCAUCUUGUGGAUGAAGAGUCAUGCUUCUGUUAUUUCACCCUCAACAAUGACAAAGACUAUUGGAAGGAUUUGAUUGUUGCCAUCUUGUGCAUCUAUUACCACAAGGAGGGUCCCCCUGUACUUAUCCUACAACUAUGUUCCAUUGACCUGAACCAUAGGUUUGCAAUAUUGAAACCCAUUGAUACACGAUUUGAAACUCCAAAAAAGAAAAUGAAAUUUCAUGAAACCCUUUAUUGUUUGACCUUCUUGUGGUAACAUUGAUAGUUUUUACUUCUCCAUGACCAUACUAGGAAGAAAUUGUUGUAUAGCUUGCAACAAUCUUGGUAAAUCGUGGAACAAUAUUUUCCAAUUGUCGUAGAUGUUUUCAAUGAAUUUUUUCUAUUCCAACCAUGCUUUCUGGUACGCGGUAGUGUAUCCUUUAGUGUUUUGAUGUGAGCUAUCAAGGUCGACACUGAAGUUGAUGGAUCAUUUUCAAUCAACGUGUGAAUGCUUUUACUAUUGAGAAAAUAAGACAGCUUUGCAUGAUCUUGUGAGAUUGCUGGAUUUGAACAUGUAUGGGGUUCAUAAAGCUUUCUUAUUUCCACUUUUUACUUGCAUGGAUGUAUACUGCCCUGCACCUCCAAGCACAACCAUCAUCAUCAUGAAUGACAAUUAUCUUUGAUGAGUUUGAUAGUUGUGUCUUGUAGUUAGCCUUUUUGCUUACAUGAUAUUAUUGAAAAGCAUGUUGUACUUCUUCUUUUGUUCGAAAACACAUCCCUUCAAAGAGAAUCCCCAUUAGAUGUUAGACUUCUUCGUUAUCUAACGUAUCACCAAAUUAAAAAUCUGAAAAAUUAAAUUCAAGGUCAACAUUAUGCAUGUGUGGUGGUAUGUAGUAUAGUUGUACGAUUAUUAUUGGAGAAACAUGCUCAACUUCUUCCUUAUGAUCUUCUUGAGAUUGAUUGCGCAGAACUUCGUCUUCAUCCUCACUAAAGGGACUAAGUUAUUCGUUAGGUAAGCCAAGCUCUACUGUAAACUUAAGUUCAUUUGGUUGGGUUGAUGAGGUAGGUUGGGCUGCAAGGGUACUCCAGUAUGGGUGAGGUUGGUCCUCAGCAACACCAAAUGUUUAUGAGUCUAACAAAUUGGUGGAAAAUGAUGCAGAAAUAAGUUGAGUAAAAGAAGAUGUAUUUGGUUCAAAUAAAAUUUCUUGUGGUUGGAUUAAAUAGAAUGUAGCUUGGGUUACAUUAGAAGUAUGUGAAACAUGGGAUUGAGGAUUUGAAUAAUAUUGAGGUUCAUGAGAUAUUGGUUGAGGGUUUAGGGUGGGAAGUGUAUGUAAUUGGAUUUUUGCAUACAAUUCAAUGCAUGUAAGAACUUCAUGUUGGCAAACUAUAGAAAUCAUACCUUUGACGUCUUCAUUGUCAACAAGUUGCACUACUGUAAACUUGAGCAUUUUGCAGCUAACUAGUUGUGGGUAUCAAAAUGAAAUAUCGCAAACUUGGUCUAGUGGUUGAAGUCAGAUUCUUUGAUGGAUUUUUCUUUCCAAGGAUUCAAGUGUGAGGCUUUGUUUGAAGAACGUUGGGCGAGGACAUUAAAAUGUAUCUCUUUCAUCUAUAUUGAUUAUUUAACCAUUGUAGUACACUAACCAAUUGACAGAUGAGGAAGACAUGUUGAGUAUUAUGUUUGCAAAGUUGGAAGAAAGUAAUAGAGAAAGAAAGUGUUGUGUGGAUGUGUUGAAUGAAGGUGAAUAUGACUUCUAUAUAUAGGGGUCAGGGUUCAGGAUUUAUGACCUAGGGUUAGGGUUUAAAGCAUUGGAUUCCUUUACGUAAAGCAAAAAUGUCUUUGAUGCACUAGCGUAAAGCACAAGUGUCUCUGAUACACUAGUUUAAAGCAAAAGUGUCUCUAAUACACUAACGUAAAAUAUUUGAUAGAGGUGAAACUAGCUUGUCUAAUGAUCCUUUACAUGGGAUUAGAGGUCCUAUGACAAGGUUCAAGAUUAAGAGGAUGAAACAAGCAUUGCAAGGCCUAAUUCUAAAGAUCAAAGAGAAAGAAGACCAAUGUCUAAUUAAGGGUUACACCUAAUUGGGUCAUUUUCCUACAAAUUGAUAAAGAUGCUUUGAGGUCAACUUGAAGAAUCACUUUGGGUAGCCCAAUUUACAAGCCAAGAAGCAUCCAUGGGCUAAGUUGAUCAAUUUUGAUGGACUAUUAAUAUUGGACUGAUUAGAUAAUAACUAAGUCCAAUUUUUGUCAUUUUAUUUGUAAUUUUGUACUAUUUUUUUGGCUGGAGUUUCUGGAGAAUUUUCAUUUUCUCUUAGCCUUAAUAAAUGUUUUCUAGAAUACUCCAAGUCAUUUAGUGGCUAGUGGGAAAUUUAUUUUCAUGUUUAUUGUCAUUUAUUUUCAUUUAGUGGCAUGCAAUUAUCAAUGCAUUUGGUAAAUGCAUAAUAGUGAGAAUCUAUUAUAACAUUUCAUGAUUAGCCUAUAAAUAGGGAACACUCGUACUUUCCAAAGAUAGAAUUGGAAGAUUAAUAAAAUUUGAGAGUUUCUCUAUUGUAAGAACUUUUCCUUUGUUCUUGGGUUAGGAACUUGAUAGUGUUGGUUCUAUCGGCUGGUCGCGGUUAGGGUCACACCCCUUUUGAUAAUUUUGGUUCUACCAGUAAGUCGUGGUUAAGAUCAAGUUUCUUUCUUUUUAUACAUGUUUUCAAGACAAUCCUAAGUGUUAUCUUAUCAACAUUGGAUUCCUUGACACACUGGUGUAAAGCAAAAAUAUCUCUGACACACUCACAUGAAAUCACUGAAAGAUUUCAUUCCAUGAGGACAACUAUUGACACCUAGAUUGUUGUGUGUAUCAUUUAUUUUGUUUUAAAUAAUAUUUCGAUCCCAUAAUUUUCAUGUCAAUGAAGCCAUUAAAACAACUUUCGGUUGUCGAUUUGGGCCUAAAACACAUUAAUGAAGUGACAAAAAAAAUCGUUGAAACUUAAAGAUUUCAUUCCAUACUUCAAACUUUUGGCAUUAAAACACACAUGGCAAGCAUUCAGUAAUACAACAAUAAACAACACAUAUGACGACUACAAAUCAUUAAAUAAUAAAAUAGUAAUCAAAUAAAUUGGGUGAAGGGUUUCUGCAAAACUCAAUUCAAGGUUCAUUGCUUCAUCGAUGCAUUCAUCCAAACCCUCUAAAUUCAAAGAGCUUGUAGAAAUUGGUGGCAGUGAUGAACAUGUUUGUGUAGGUGUGCCUGUGGUGAUAAGAUAUAACUCAAGGCAUGUGAGGUUAGAGUUGCUCGAAUAUAGAAAACAUAUUAAUUAUGUCCUUAUCAUCUUUCAGUAUGUAUGCCCUGUACUAAAAACAAUCACUAACAAAUGGUACAUGACAUCAAAAAUGUAUAUCCAUGACCACUUUACCAUUUGGUAGACUAAUCUUGUUUCCAAUUGCUUUUUUAAGGCAUCAAGUGACAUUCUAUUUUCAAGUUGAAUGAUCUUUGGUGAACCACUUACAAACUUUGAACCAUGCUUAGUUGUUGUGAUGGUGCCAUUGUAAUACACAAUCGUAGUGACUAAUGACGAAGUCAUGGUUUAGAGUUUAGGGUAACAGUAAGAUUUCUGAUUGAGGUGAUGUAUCAUACUGCCUUAGUGCAAACUAUAUUUAUAAUGUUUAAUGAAUUUUCACAUGCACUUGGCCAAGAUCCCAUUGACGAAAUCAAUGGCCUAGAUAACAACGAUGGGAGCAACGGACAUUGAACAACCAAGAUCUCACUAACAAAAUCAACGGCCUAGAUAACACCAAUUAAGCAACACACGUUGAACGAUCAAGAUCCCAUUGAUAAAUUGUGUUACUAUUACAUUUUUCUAUAAAUACAAUGCAUGUAUUCCCAUCAUAUACAAUCACUUUCUCUCGUUCUCAUAUAUCCCUCUUUAAUUUCUUCAUGACAUUAGUACCAAAGCCUAAAUCAUGGAAUCUACAAUUGUUCCUCUUUUUUGGAAACAACACCUUCAUAGAUCUAUACAAGUAUGUAAUACAUUUUGUUUAAUUGAAUGUUAAUUAUGUUAUGAUUUACAAAUAUUCAUGUUGUUAUUUUGAUUUCUAUAGGUAACAUAUGAUGUAAUCCAGUCAUAUGGUCAAGUUAUGUCUUCUCUAGAUCCCAAUAUUGAAUCUUUGUUGGUUCAAGUUGGGUUUUCAGAUGUUGCAAAGCGCGGAAAAAUGAAAAUCGUCAACGCUUUAGUGACUACUUUGGUUGAAAGGUGGAGACCUAAAUCACACACGUUUCAUCUUUCAGCUGGUGAAUGUAUAAUCACUUUGGAAGAUGUUGUUCAUCAACUUAGUUUACGUGUUGAUGAAAAACCAGUUACUAGCCCAACAUAUUAUGAUUGAAAACAAUUUUGCGCAGAAUAUAUAGGUGUUAUACCCCCAACAAUGCACUAGUGGGAUCAACACUGAAACUAAAAUGGUUAAAAGAAAACAUGUUGACUUUUCUAGCAGAACCAAUAUCACAACAAUUAGCAGUUCAUUGUAGGGCAUGCAUUUUAGGGUUGAUUGGUGAAGUUUUGAUUCCAUACAAGUCAGGAAAUGUAGUUCACAUGAUGUAUCUACCUUUGUUAAUGGAUCUUGAACAGGUUCGAUGAUAUAGUUAGGGUUCGACAUGUUUAACACAUUUUACAGAGAAAUGUGUAGGACAAUUUAUCUAUGCAUCAUCCAAAAAAAUGGGAGGAUGUACAGUGUUUUUGUCAUCUUGGGCAUGAUAUCACAUGUCAUUCAUUCAACCAAAGGUCAAGUGUCAGCUGUCAUAUCCACUUGCAACUAGGAAAACAAAAAUUUCUCACUCAAACAAAGAUCAUUUUUGGUAAUGUAUUUGAUACUAACAUAUUAUAUUUCACUGGAUGGAGUGGCAGAAGGCAACAAUUUUAUAAAAUCUCACACGGUGAUGUUAUAGGCUGCAUAUCAAGAUUCCAUAACAUGCGUAACGAGGAGGUUGAACCAUUUAUUUUUGUUUUAUUUAUUCAAAUAUCAAUUACAUUUUUUUUAUAAAUUAUUAACACAAAUUAUUUUUUUAGAUCCAUUGGAUGCCUUAUAGAGGGUUCAAAUCAUUUCUGCCAAAAACAUGCAUACAAGGAUUCCAAAAUAUGGAAUGCUUGUGUUGCUUUAAUUGCCCUUGUUAAUUACAUUCUACUAUGAUGAUUGUCAGUUUGCCCUUGUUAAUUGAUUGAACACUAAAUAAUGCCUUAAUUGAAUGAACAUUGAAUUUUCUAAGACAAAUUAACUAAACGCUACAUUUUUUGGAGAUGAUUUGAUUCCAUAUUGCUUUUUCCCAAAUGAUUUGACCUCACAUUGUUUUUUUUUGAGACGAUGUGACUAGAUGAUGGUUUUUACGAGACAAUUUGACUGAGCAUUUUUUUUUUCAAAUUUUGCAAAGCAACCAUAAUUAAUUAUGACACAAUCUAAAUCGUGUAUAUUGUCAGUGCGAUCUCAACCGUUGGUAUGAGUCACAGGAGAACACUUAAUCACCUAAUAUAUAUAGUAAUAGAAGUUAGAUGCCACUCAACACCUUUGUCUGAUAUUCACUAUAUUACUUAAAACAUGGAGAGUGUAUCCACUCUUGUGUAUUGCAAUAGUGACCUGAUUCCAUUAUAUGAAGGGAUAAAGUUUGAAUACCCUAUUUAUCCUAAAGUCAUCAUAAUAAGUGAGGACAUGUCAUUUGAUGCCUUACGGAAAAUAAUUUUGGACGCCAACAAAGGUUGCAUAACUUUACUUGAUCAUUUUUAUUGCCAACCAAUAUACGUAAGUGAUAAUUAUGCUAAAUACGAUUGUAUAGAGCUCAACCACAAUGAUGGUGUGGGAAAAAUGUUUUUCAUAUAUUUAAAAUUUAAUACCAAAGGUUUGAUUGAGUUUAAUGCAACUUUUAGGCUUUCUCUAGAUGAAAUCUUUGUCCUGCUGCACAAACGAAGGAAACCAAGAAUGACUGAUGAGAUGAUUGCUCUGAUGCGUGAUGAACCUGUGUAGUCAUUGCACAAAUUAGUUGUUGUUAUUUUUUUAGAAUAAACUUGCAAUUCAUCAUUAGAAUUUUGUUGUUACUUUUUUUUUUUUAAGAUUCUCUACUUUAAUGGUGUUAGAAUAAGCUAAUUUUUCUUCUUCUUCAAUUAAUCAUGUAAAAUACCACUACAUCCACAAUAUUUUUUGAAAUGAAAAAAAAAAUUAUAUAAAAAAUUAAAACUUUCUAUAUUUUUCUAGAGUGGAUUUCCAUUUUAUUUUCAUUUCUAUUUUUAAAAAUAUUUUAAUCUUUCUAUUAAAAAAUUAAAAUUAAUUUCUUGCUAAUAAAAUUUGUAUUUAACCCACAAUUUAUAUUUAUGGGAUUACAUUAACAUUCUAUCGAUAAAAUAUCAUAAACAUAAAUAGAAUAAUGCAAAAAGUAAUUUAUCUUAGCUUUCUUUAUUUUUUUUUUGUCUUUUUUAAUCUAGAUAAACUUUGUUUCAUUUUUUUUUUCAUUUUUUAGUUACGUUUAAUUUCAAAUUAUGCACUUAUCUAAAUAUUUCAUUUAAGGAUUAAUUGUUUUUUUAAACACUAUUUAAUAAUAAUGGAUUACAAGUAUUUUCUUUAAAAUAAUUUAAUUUAAAAUAAAUCUUUGUGUGAAAUUGACAACACGAUAGAAAGAUUUGGAAAUAAUUUUAAACAAAAAAUAAUAUAAAAUUAACUAACAACAUAUGCAAAAUAAAUUUUUAUUUUUAUAAAAUAAUAUAUAUAUAUAUAUAUAUAUAUAAAUUAAUAAUUUUUUUUAAAAAAAUAACAGAAAACUUAAUUAACUACCAAGAACCGAUUUCUCACAUGUUAGAUUAAUUUGUAUCAUUUGAGUAAAUAAUUAAUUUAUUUAUAUUUUUGGGUAAAAAAAUCAGUGUUUCUAAUAUAUAUAAAUAACAUAAAAAUCAUAAUUAAUGGCAGUGAUCUAGUUUCAUUUUAAUAUUUUUUAAAGUAUUUUUUCUGCUAUAGUUUAUAUUUCAUUGUAAAUUUUCUGGACAACAACUAAAUUAUUUUAAUACCUUAAUAAAAAAGUAAAAAUAAUUAAAAGGAUACUCCUAAAAGUUAGAGAUGUAAGUCAAUAUGAUUGGAUUAAUAUAAAAAUUCUAGAAUUUAAGGGAAUUUUUGAAUGAAAGGAGGAAGAAGAAUGAGGGUAAAUGUUGCAAGAGAACAUUGCCAAAAUGAUCCAUGUGACUUGGUUGUCACAUGUAGGCUAACAAAUUAUGUUGAUUUGGUGAAGGAAGAAGGAGGGGAGAGGGGAGAUGUGGAGUGUUUGAAUUUCUUACUAACAAAAACUUAACAAUUAACGAUUAACAUUUGCCUGAAAAAAAUAUAGGCUACCAAAGGAACUAGACUAGUGAUCUUCGAUUUCAAGGUUUAAUAGGAAAAAUGUGUUUUUAGUUUCUAUAUUUUUCAUCAAAUGUGGUUAAUUGGUCCCCUUGUAGUUUUAUAUUAAAGAAUUUACUCUUCAUUUUUUUAUAAAAUAACAUGUAGAUUUAGACCUUAACUUUAAGAAAACAUGAUGAAUUUUUAGAAACGAAGGACUAAAUCGGCAUGUUUCUAAAGUUUGAAUCCCCUACGUUGAGGCCUCGGGUCUUUGUGUUAUGUAUAGUGUUAGUUGAAGAGCCAACAAGACUAAGGCGGGAAUGAGAGUGCGUGAUGAGGAGGUGAGUUGUAGUGGGUAUGAUCAAGAGGAUGAUAUAUGGCAAUGAUAAUGGGCAGAAAUCCUACCAUAAUUGUAACACCCCUUGUUAUUAUUAAGAAUUUUCUUAUUAUUUUUUAAAUUUGUGAAAUAAUUUAAAAAUUUUGACUAUUAAUAUCACCUUCAGAAUGGAGGUAAAGGCGGCAGGAGAACAUUGUCAAAAUCAACUAUCUCCAACAAAUAAUUUUCGAGGUAUACUAAUUCGAUAUAUAUAAUUUUACAAAGUUUAGUAAAAAAAAAAAAAAGUCCAUCAUUAUCCCCUUUUAGAGUGUGAUUUACUUGGACUUUACCCAAUAACUAAUCCCACAUUGAAUAGUAAAUAUUUUAGAAAAUAUUUCACAACCAGAUUGUCAAGGCUACAAUCCCAGCUUCUUAGCCAAGGUCUUCCUUGUUCUCUUCUUUAAACCUCUUCUCCAACAGAUGGAGUUGUACUUACCAAAAUUCAAAGUUGACACAUAUCAGGGGGACAUGGCUAAGGUGAGCUUUUGACUUCACACGUCGAACUGAGAGUAGCCUUUAUUAAGAAGACAAGAGGAGGGACCUGCAAAACAAAUAACUUCGACGCUCAAUUAAGUACAUGAGUUAGGAGAGUAUCAGAAAAUAAGUAUAUAAGCAGGUGUGAAUGUGUUCGUCUCAAGUGAGUAUGAAUGAAUGUGUGAGGUUUGUGUUCGAGGGUACUACGAGAGAACCUGAUACUUAUAGGAUGAAGAGGGAGCUGCAGAUCCUUGUUGAUAGGGGUUGUUACAAUGACACACCAUCCCUGAAAGAUAAUUACCAACUUGUAGAUAAUAGCCAGUGACUUACAUAUAAAGUUAGAGAUAAAAGCUAGUAGAUAGUUGUUACUUAUAGAUAAUGUAUGACUUUGUAGAUAAUUGAAUAUCUACCAAUAGAUAAAGAAAUAAAAUUAUAUUCAAAUAAUAAUAGAUUAGAGAUAAUCUGUCGGUUGAAGAGCCAAGUGAUUAAGGGCUAGGCAUCUGUACUCUAGCGUUAGGACUGAUAUGAAGAGUUAGCGUAUGUCUCGGAGUACCACAUAGCAUGACACGUGCAUUUUGUGAAUCCUGAACCAUACAUGACCUAACUAUCAAUCACAAAACAGUGUCACAACAUGUAAAUAUUGUAUGCAACACUAUAUAUUAAUCUAAAAAACAAAGAAAGUAAAAGCCUUAUACAACAUCUCUCUUAUCAGUUUCAUCUAGGCAUCCCAAUAGUAUUCAGUAAAUAUUAUUAGUGGAGGCAAAAAAGAGAUAAAACUUUGACAAGGUAUAAAUAUUUGAAUGCAUGCUUAUGUUCAACUUGUAUGUUAUUCUGUUACUUAGACCAAUUCUUUGCUCGCUGUCAAUACAAUAAGAAGGGAUACAUAUUUCCUCAGCUAUCUCUUGCAGGUGUGAUGCACUGCUAGAGUUCCAUCCACCAACUGCUAACAUAAGAUUUUGAUCUUCUUCCUCCAGUUCGUAUAUAACAUAUUGUCGCACCUGAAAGAAAAUUCAGUUUAGCUGUAGAUUAGACUUGAAGAAUACAAAUUUAAAUAGUGGCAUUACAAUUUUAUAUUUGGUUUAAUAAAAAAAAUUACAAACAUGAAAUACUUGCUCGUCAACCAACACCAUUUCUAUGGCGUAUGGGUGAGAAUGGUCAUCAAUAGGAAACAUAUUCCAUGCACAUUACCCUAACCUUAAGUCUCCUACUUUGUUUCUCAAUGGCCACACUUGCAACUGCACAUCAUAUUCGGAAGCCAUUAUAAAGUAUCUUUUCUAUCUAGUAUCUUUUGUAUCUAACAGAGAUACACAGGUCAGUCUAUUUAAAUUUAUUUAUUGAAAUAAAUAUUUAUAAACAAUUUUCUAUUUUUUAAUGUAUUUAUUUAAAUUGUUUCUGCUUAAAAUAUGUAAUUUUUGUUUAUUUUAAGUAAAUCGUAUCUACUUCUUAAAAAAAUGCUUACAGUUUUUAUUUUAAAGUUAUUUUUUUAAGUUUAGACAAAUCCACACGAAUAAUUAAGAACCUUAAGCUUUGGUGAUAUGGUCUAAAACGAAAUCUAUUUAUAGAUCAUACCAUCGACCAAUACCAAAGUCUAGGCGGGCUUUACUAUAGACUUGAAAUUCGAAUUCAAAUUCAAAUAUAUUACCUUCUGCAAUUAACAUUGGUUUCACCAUCUGCAAUUACCAUUCUGCAUUAUUCAAAGGAUGAAAUCAGAUUGUCAAAUAAUAAGAUAAUAGAGACUUCACAUGUAGAAAUAUAUAAAAAUAGGAAAAGGCACGCCAAAACACACCUUUCAUCUAGGCACUAGUGUAGUACCAUUGUCUUUGAAGAAACAACAAUUGUUGCACUCUCCACAAUCAAAGCAUAAUAUAUAGCAAACAGUUGUUUCUAAUUAACAAGCAGUAUGACUGAGAAGAGUUUUAGAAAUAAAGCACCAGAUAAGGAAUACUGCAACAAAAGUAUUUUGUGAUACCAACAUGUUAUUCAUUGAGUAAGAAUCUAGCUUUUCAUGUGUAAUCCAAGCAUAUAUAUUAAUAUACAAUUUCACAAUAUGUGAGAGUUGGUCAAUGAAAAAGAAGUCGUGAUUAAUUAUAACUAGCUAGUAGAAGUCUCCCUAUUUUCUCCAAAAAUCAUGUAAUGUUAUAUGUUAAGCAUAAAAAUUAUUGCCACACUAUAUAUAUGAAGACAACCUCAUUAACCUUCCGAAAGAAACUGUAGGCACUUCCCAGUUUUAGUUGCAUGUACCACAGUUUAUAAGAGAUUUUAUUACUUCACGAUAUAUUAUUAUAACAAGUCUGCCUAUAAAAGGCAUCGAUCUAGUUGCAUGUGUAUUGUUGAAUCAACUUUCAAGUUGAAUGAAAUGGUAGUGAGUUAAAUGCUUCCUCUGUUUUUUUUGUUUUUUUGUUUUUUUCUAAAUGCGCUGAGCAAGAAAGCCCCUGACCCAAGAACUAAUAUAUUAAUUAAGGAUUGCAAAUUGUUUACCGCAUUGUCGUCCAUAAUGUAAAGCAAAGUUAGGAAUUGAAGCAAAGAAAAGACAAUCCCUACUAAGUGAUAGGCCAUGCUUGGCAAAACAACUCAUCUUUGAUUUUGCAAAUCUCAUGACCCAACCGUGAAACUGGCCAUCCUGAACCAAAGCUUCAUUAAUCUCAUUUACUACAUCAACAGAAUCUGAUUCCACCCUCAAGAGCUGAAUCCCAUUAUCCAAAGCCAUUCGCAUAUACCAUACCAAAUGGCCCAUAUAUAAUUCAGAUUCCAGGACAUGACAAUUACCAAGCCUUCUUGAAUAAGCUUGGAUAAAAUUACCUUUGCUAUUGCAGAUCACACCAUCACAAGAAGAAAUAGCUACCCUGUGACAAACGGCUCCAUCACAAUUAAGCCUAUAAAUCUUCUUGUGGUGUAGGACACGGAGUGCGAUUUAGCUUGUGCAGAGUGCAAACUUGACUGAGAGAAGGAGAAAAUUAGAGAGAGAUUUGAGAGAAUUGAGAGAGAUUUUAAAAUACUCAUGGUAUUGAAUUGUGUUCUGUCUUUUGUGAUUACAGAAUGCAUAUUGGUAGUGUUUGCCUACAUCGCGUAAUCAGCCAUGUGGGGUCUAUUACAAGUAUUUGCGUUAAGUAUCAUAUUCGAAGGUUAUGUCCGACUUGGCUAAAGUCGGUUCAUUACUAGAGCACUUCUUACUUAAGUCGGCCUUUUGAGUCUGUUGGCAGCUUACAAUAUCUAAGUUGGUGUUCAUAUGCUUAGACUUUAUGUCACAUGUCUAUGACGUGUAAAGUUUAUAUUUACCUCAGAAUAAAUCUCACUAGAAAAACACCACCAGCUUUUAUUCGUUUCCCUUGGCUGCAUCAAUAUCAGGCUCUCAGCGCUAACCUGAAGAUCAUGAAUAAGAGCUCUGGUCGGUCUGUUCACAGCAUAAUCAGGUACAAGCUUUUGACGAAUAACAAGCUCGUUCCUUCUCCACCAAAUUCGGUCCAGUGACAGAAAAAUUAUUUUGCUCCCUCAUAAGUAGCAUUGCUUCUGAUAUUAAUUCCCAGCCAAUCAUCAAUGUCUUGCUUGAAGAAAAGGGACUGAUCAUUAACCUUUAGCAACUUCCAGAUCUUUUAAUUAAUUUUAAUAGUUUCUGGAGUUAAAUUGACAAUAUCUUUUAAUUUGAAAGACUUGAAAAUAUCAAUUUACUCAUUUUUAUUAUCAGUAAAAUAAUAUUUUAUUAAUUAAUGGUCUCUAAAACACAUUUUAAGUUUAUAUUUUUUCAUAUCCCUACAUUCUCAAAAUACUUCAGUUCUUCUUAAGCUUCACUCAAUUGCUUAUCUAAUCUUCGGUGCUCUAGCCUCUCUAUGGAAGCAAUAGGUAUAAUACAUGUUACUGUCCCAUUGUUCUAUGAGGAACUUAUUUUAACCUAUAAGUUCCCGGUUUUGUCCGUGCAUAGCAUUGUGUGAUUCAUGAUUUACAUAGAAAAUAUUCAGUUUAAGUAGCUUAAUUUAGAUAUCUAUAAUGUUAUUAGUGUUUCAGUUGUGUGAAUGUGAUAUGUUAGAAUACAAGUGUGAGUCCCAUAAACCUGAGACUUAAUGUUUUAGAUUAAAAUGUGGUAUCAAGUUCAUUAUAUGAUUACUUGAGAUUCAUUAAUAUAAAUUUUCUGGUAUUUACUCCUCAGAUGCACAAUACUAUCACAAUCUCAGUUAGGGCAAUUAUAUCAUGUUGUGGUCGUGGUCUGCAACCACAAUUUGUUACUUAUUAAAUAAGCAAAGUGUUCUGGCUUAUUAUAUGAUUCCCUUUUUGUUGCCAGUACCCUAAUUCAAAAAUGUUAUCACACAAAACUCAACACUAACAACAACUAUUAAUUAGUAAACCAAAACCAGAUACUACACAUCAUUCCUUGAUUAGUAGAUCAUCAAUCGAGUUACAAUAGCGGCAACAUUUGGCAGUUUCAUAGAGGCAAAAAAACUUUUACAUUCCAAUUCAACUUCCAAGAUAAAUACAAUAGGAUACAUGCAAACCCGUACAGCAUUGAUCUCGAGACACAGGCGUCGCCCUGUAAAUAUUGUACUGGAUAUCUCCUUUCAAAUUGGAGUGGAUAACUUCAUAAGCAUAAGAAAAUAUAUGCAAUAAAGAAGUGGUAUUCAGGGAACAAUAAGUUUUUGAAGAAAGGCUUAUAUAGGCUUUAACAAAUGAAAUUUGUUUUGGUAUAGGCCUGAUCAUAAAAAUGGAAAAUGGCUAUGGAAUAGGUUUGGAAAUUGGAAUAGGUGGAGGCUUUUUAACAGAUGUAAAUGGCUUUGGUAUAGGUUUCAUCAUUGGAGGAAUAGGUAAAGGCCUUUUCACAAAUGGAAAUGGCUUUGGAAAAGGCUUGAAUGUUGGGAUCGGAAUUGGUUUAACGGUUGGAACUGGCUCGGGUACAGGCUUAAUUGUUGGAGUAGGUAGAGGUUUUUUUAGUGAAGGAAUUGGCUUUGGUAUAGGCUUAAUUGCUGGAAUAGGUAGAGGCUUUUUCACUAUUGGAAAUGGCUUUGGGAUAGGCUUGAAUACUGGAAUGGGAAUUGGCUUAAUAAUUGGGACAGGCUUGAAUACUGGAAUGGGAAUUGGCUUAAUAAUUGGGACUGGCUUGGGUAUAGGCUUAGUUACUGGAAUAGGUAGAGGCUUUUUCACUAUUGGAAUUGGUUUGGGGAUGGGCUUGAACACUGGAAUAGGAAUGGGCUUAACAAUGGGAAUUGGUUUUGGUAUAGGCUUUGUUACGGGAAUAGGUAGAGGCUUUUUCACCAUUGGUGUUGGCUUUGGAAUUGGCUUAACAACUGGAACUGGAUUAGGUAAAGGCUUUGUUACUGGAAUAGGUUGAGGCUUUUUCACGGUUGGGAUUGGCUUUGGGAUAGGCUUGAAAAAUGGAAUAGGAAAUGGCUUUGGGAUUGGCUUGAACAAUGGUAUAGGAAAUGGCUUGGGGAUAGGUUUGAACACAGGAAUAGGAAUUGGCUUAAUAAUUGGAACUGGCACGGGCACGGGCUUAAUUACCGGAAUAGGUAGAGGCUUUUUUACUAUUGUAAAUGGCUUGGGGAUAGGCUUGAACACUGGGAUAGGAACUGGCUUUACAGUUGGAGUUGAUUUUGGUACAGGCUUAAUUACUGGAAUAGGUAGUGGUUUUUUCACUAUUGGAGAUGGUUUUGGAAUUGGCUUAACAAUUGGAAUUGGCUUUGGUAUAGGCUUCUUAAUCACCGGAGUAGGAAUAGGUUUCUCGGCUACCGGGCAAGGCUUUGGCUUUGGCUUUGGUUUUUCCACUAUGGGAGAUGGCUUUGGUAUAGGCUUCUUAAUCACCGGAGUAGGAAUAGGUUUCUUGGCUACUGGGCAAGGCUUUGGCUUUGGUUUUUCCACUAUGGGAGAUGGCUUUGGUAUUGGCAUAACAUCUGGAAUUGGCUUCUUAAACACUGGGAUUGGGAAUACUGGAAUUGGAAUUGGAUUUGGUAUAGGCUUAAUAUCUGGAAUCCAC